GGUUACCUUGUUACGACUUCAUCCCAGUUAUCAACCCGACUAUAAAUUAUGCAAAUUAAAGUAAACUUUGAAAUUUGUUAACAUAAAAAAUAAAAAAAUUAAACACAAUAAUCAACAAAUAUUUUUUAGCCAAGCCGACUUCCGGCACGUGACGGGCGGUGUGUACAAGGCCUAAGUACAAAUUCACCACGACGUUCUGAUUCGUGAUUACUAGUGAUUCCACCUUCAUGUGGGCGAGUUGCAGCCCACAAUCCGAACUUUGGUAAAUUUUUAAGAUUAGCUCCAAGUUACCUUAUUGCUUCUUUUUGUCUUUACCAUUGUAGCACGUGUGUAGCCCAGUUCAUAAGGGCCAUAAAGACUUGACGUCAUCCCCUCCUUCCUCAUUAUAUAUUGUAAUAAAAACUCAACAAUAAGUUGAAACGACAAGUAAUAUAUUUAAAAAAAAUAACACUUAACGUUGCUAAUUGUUUACAAUUAGCAAAUAUUUAAACAAUAAAGCAGUAUAGUUAAAGUCCUUUAUAUAAGAUAUAUAAAUAGUAACUAACUACAGGGGUUUCGCCCGUUAAAAAGAGUGAACCUAACAUCUUACGACACGGGCUGACGACAGCCAUGCAGCACCUGUAUAAAUCCUUUUGAUUAUCCACAAAGAUUAUCCAAAAUAUAUAUCAAAAACUGGUAAGGUUUCGCGCGUAUUGUCGCAUUAAACCACAUGCUCCACCACUCGUAUAGGCCCCCGCCAAUUCCUUUGAGUUCCGUCCUUGCGGCCGUACUCCCCAGGCGGAGUGCUUUAUGUGUUAACUAAUUGUCCAAAAUAUAAUUCAAACAAGAGCACUCAUCUUUGACGGCAUGGACUACCAGGGUAUCUAAUCCUGUUUGCUCCCCAUGCUUUCGUCCCUCAACGUCAGAUUGAAAUAGAUAGUUGCCUUCGCCUUUAGUAUUCCUUCAUAAUUCUACGGAUUUCACCCCUUCAUAUGAAAUUCUACUAUCUUCCUUCAAACUCCGAGCUCUAACGUAUUAAAAGCCUCAAAAAGUAAAGCUUUUUGAUUUUACUUUUAACAUAAAAAGCCGCCUACGGACCCUUUACGCCCAGUCAUCAUGGGUAACGCUCGCCCCCUUCGUCUUACCGCGGCUGCUGGCACGAAGUUAGCCGGGGCUGUUAAUUAAGUAACGUCAAUCGUCCUCCUCAAUUAAUGAAGUUUACAACUUUUGAGCAGUCUUCCUUCAUGUAAUAUUGCUGGGUCAAGCUUUCGCUCAUUGCCCAAGAUUCCUCACUGCUGGCCUCUACUGAAGCCUGGGCCUUGUCUCAGUCCCAGUGUGGUUGUUCAAUCUCUCAAAACAACUAAGGAUCACAGGCUUGGUAAGCCUUAACCUUACCAACUACCUAAUCCUGCAUAGGCUCAUCUUUUAGCAAAAUAUUUCUUUUUUAGUUUUUUACUGUAUUAUACAGGAUUUUUUCCCGUACUAAAAGGCAGAUUCCUAUGUAUUACUCACCCGUUUGCCACUAAGAUAAAUCUUCGUUCAACUCGCAUGUGUUAAGCAUACUACUAGCGUUCACCCUGAGCCAGGAUCAAACUCU
rnacentral:rRNA from 1 species